CACACAGACACACUCCCUAAGACAUGGUUGGUGCCUUCUGUUGCUAGCUAGCUUAUAGCUAAUGUACAAUAAUAUAUUCUGGCUGUCUGGGGGAAAUCAACACAAAUGGUCUAGCAAUCGAACUCACAUCCAUUGUGUUUGAUGUAGCCGCGCUCCCGAGGCCCUGUGCUCUCGUCUUCAAUCAAAGACAAUCCCCGUCCACGUUCUUGUCACACUGAGCACAACGUUAAUCAUCCCAGCGGUGUCUCCAAUAUUUGAUGCACACUUGGACACAAAAGGGACUUCCAGGCGUGCUGUUCCUUUUCUGAGGGAGGAUCAGGAUUAUGUAAUCAGAAGGAUGUCUUCUGCUCUUCUGUAAUCACUGGUACGUCAUGGCAUUUUCACAGUGACGCCUUUGAUGUCGUUUUUAUUUGUCUUCCUCGUAGAGCAGUGGCAGGAUGGCAGAUGUAUGCAGAUGCUGUGUGUCGAGUGCCAGAAACAAGAAAAAAAAGUGGAGGCAGUCUCUACCACGUUAUCAAAAUCAGUCAGACUGUAAUCCCAUCUUCUGUUUAUCAAUGUGUCAUUUUAUCGCCACAGAUAAGCAUUUUAUGUAUAAGAUACAUGUAUAAAAACAGAUUGAUGGAAAUAUUGUGCGAAGAAACCCUAAUCCCUGUGUUGUGUUGACACUGGCUUUAUCUGCUCAUUGUUUGGGGUCCCACAGA